GCACAAGCGGUGGAGCAUGUGGUUUAAUUCGACGCAACGCGAAGAACCUUACCUGGGCUUGACAUCCCGAUCGCACCUUAUGGAAACAUAGGGGUCGAGUUCGGCUGGAUCGGUGACAGGUGCUGCAUGGCUGUCGUCAGCUCGUGUCGUGAGAUGUUGGGUUAAGUCCCGCAACGAGCGCAACCCUUGUCCUUAGUUGCCAGCAUUCAGUUGGGCACUCUAAGGAGACUGCCGGUGUCAAACCGGAGGAAGGUGGGGAUGACGUCAAGUCCUCAUGGCCCUUAUGUCCAGGGCUACACACGUGCUACAAUGGCCGGUACAAAGGGGCGCAAGACCGCGAGGUGGAGCAAAUCCCAAAAAACCGGUCUCAGUUCGGAUUGGAGUCUGCAACUCGACUCCAUGAAGUUGGAAUCGCUAGUAAUCGCGUAUCAGCAUGACGCGGUGAAUACGUUCCCGGGCCUU
rnacentral:rRNA from 1 species